rnacentral:lncRNA from 1 species
ACCAGAGGCAGAGCCCAAGGCCCAGCCCAACGCAGUGAAGUGUCCUUACUGUUCCGGGGAAAAUUUCACCUCAUGUGACUCCAUUUCGAUCAUGAACUGCACCGGGAACCAGACUGUGUGCGUCACUCUCAACGGGACAUGGAACAGAGGAGGUCCCCAAAUCCUGAAAGGCUGUGCUACACCAGAGAUCUGCCACCUGAAAGUGAAUGACACUCUGGGCCCGGAGGAGGCUGGAUUUCAUCUCACCACAAAGCCUGAUUGCAGUUCCCUGGCUCCUCCCACACAACCAGGUCCCCAUGCAAAUGUGACCCAUACCAAGGCAAAGGCCACCAUCUGUUUCACCUGCUCAGACCUCUACCAUUGCAACCCUGUCUCCUGCCCGGAGGACAGGAACUAUUGCCUUCAGACGGCAGGAAUCACAGGUGAGUGCCAACGGGAGCAGAAACAGGCCCUGAGGCACAGCAAGACUUCUUGCCUUUCCGUGUCUGCGGCCUCCACUUUUUAUGGCCAUGCAGGACAGAGGCUCGGGGCAGCAGAAGGUGUGAGGUGCAAAUCCAAUGACAUUUGGUUGAGCUCUUGCUAAGUAGCCAUCCCC